UAGGGAAUAUUGCACGAUGGGCGAAAGCCUGAUGCAGCAACGCCGCGUGCGCGAUGAAGGCCUUCGGGUUGUAAAGCGCUUUUCGGGGAGAAGAGGAAGGACGGUAUCCCCGGAAUAAGGCUCGGCUAACUACGUGCCAGCAGCCGCGGUAAAACGUAGGAGCCAAGCGUUAUCCGAAUUCACUGGGCGUAAAGCGCGUGCAGGCGGCCUGGUAAGUUGGAUGUGAAAUCUCCCGGCUCAACUGGGAGAGGUCGUUCAAGACUGUCAGGCUAGAGGGCGACAGAGGGAGGUGGAAUUCCGGGUGUAGUGGUGAAAUGCGUAGAUAUCCGGAGGAACACCAGAGGCGAAGGCGACCUCCUGGGUCGUACCUCACGCUGAGAUGCGAAAGCUAGGGGAGCGAACGG
rnacentral:rRNA from 1 species